UAAUGCGCGAAAGCGUGACGCAGCGACGCCGCGUGCGGGAUGAAGGCCCUCGGGUCGUAAACCGCUUUCGGCAGGGACGAAGCGAAAGUGACGGUACCUGCAGAAGAAGUCCCGGCUAACUACGUGCCAGCAGCCGCGGUAACACGUAGGGGACGAGCGUUGUCCGGAUUUAUUGGGCGUAAAGAGCGCGUAGGCGGCUCGGAAAGUCGGUCGUGAAAUCCUGGGGCUCAACCCCGGAACUGCGUCCGAUACUUCCGAGCUGGAGGCAGGUAGGGGAGAUCGGAAUUCCUGGUGUAGCGGUGAAAUGCGCAGAUAUCAGGAGGAACACCGGUGGCGAAGGCGGAUCUCUGGGCCUUGCCUGACGCUGAGGCGCGAAAGCUAGGGGAGCGAACAGGAUUAGAUACCCUGGUAGUCCUAGCCGUAAACGUUGGGUGCUAGGUGUGGGCGGAUAUCGACCCCGUCCGUGCCGAAGCUAACGCAUUAAGCACCCCGCCUGGGGAGUACGGCCGCAAGGCUA
rnacentral:rRNA from 1 species